UGGGGAAUAUUGGACAAUGGGGGCAACCCUGAUCCAGCAAUGCCGCGUGUGUGAAGAAGGUCUUCGGAUUGUAAAGCACUUUCGACGGGGGACGAUGAUGACGGUACCCGUAGAAGAAGCCCCGGCUAACUUCGUGCCAGCAGCCGCGGUAAUACGAAGGGGGCUAGCGUUGCUCGGAAUGACUGGGCGUAAAGGGCGUGUAGGCGGUUUACACAGUCAGAUGUGAAAUCCCCGGGCUUAACCUGGGAGCUGCAUUUGAUACGUGUAGACUAGAGUGUGAGAGAGGGUUGUGGAAUUCCCAGUGUAGAGGUGAAAUUCGUAGAUAU
rnacentral:rRNA from 1 species